GUUGAACGCUGGCGGCAGGCCUAACACAUGCAAGUCGAGCGAGCGGCGGACGGGUGAGUAAUGUCUGGGAAACUGCCUGUUGGAGGGGGAUAACUACUGGAAACGGUAGCUAAUACCGCAUACCAUCAGAUGUGCCCAGAUGGGAUUAGGUAGUUGGUGGGGUAAAGGCCUACCAAGCUGACGAUCUGUAGCUGGUCUGAGAGGAUGACCAGCCACACCGGGACUGAGACACGGCCCUGACUCCUACGGGAGGCAGCAGUGGGGAAUAUUGCGCAAGGGGGGCAACCCUGACGCAGCCAUGCCGCGUGAAUGAAGAAGGCCUUCGGGUUGUAAAGUUCUUUCGGUAUUGAGGCGUUAAAUACAGAAGAAGCACCGGCUAACUCCGUGCCAGCCGCCGCGGUAAUUC
rnacentral:rRNA from 1 species